AGAGUUUGAUCCUGGCUCAGGAUGAACGCUGGCGGCGUGCCUAACACAUGCAAGUCGAACGGAUCCAUACUGAAACCUAGUGAUGUAUGGAUUAGUGGCGGACGGGUGAGUAACGCGUGGAUAACCUGCCGUAUACAGGGGGAUAACACUUAGAAAUAGGUGCUAAUACCGCAUAAGCGCACGGUUCCGCAUGGAACAGUGUGAAAAACUCCGGUGGUAUACGAUGGAUCCGCGUCUGAUUAGCCAGUUGGCGGGGUAACGGCCCACCAAAGCGACGAUCAGUAGCCGGCCUGAGAGGGUGAACGGCCACAUUGGGACUGAGACACGGCCCAAACUCCUACGGGAGGCAGCAGUGGGGAAUAUUGCACAAUGGGGGAAACCCUGAUGCAGCGACGCCGCGUGAGUGAAGAAGUAUUUCGGUACGUAAAGCUCUAUCAGCAGGGAAGAAAAAAAGUCCUUUGGACUUUGGACGGUACCUGACCAAGAAGCCCCGGCUAACUACGUGCCAGCAGCCGCGGUAAUACGUAGGGGGCAAGCGUUAUCCGGAUUUACUGGGUGUAAAGGGAGCGUAGACGGCAGCGCAAGUCUGGAGUGAAAUGCCGGGGCUCAACCCCGGAACUGCUUUGGAAACUGUGCAGCUCGAGUGCAGGAGAGGUAAGCGGAAUUCCUAGUGUAGCGGUGAAAUGCGUAGAUAUUAGGAGGAACACCAGUGGCGAAGGCGGCUUACUGGACUGUAACUGACGUUGAGGCUCGAAAGCGUGGGGAGCAAACAAAAUUAGAUACCCUGGUAGUCCACGCCGUAAACG
rnacentral:rRNA from 1 species